UGAGACUUAAAGUCUCCUGAAGGAACGUUGAAGACGACGACGUUGAUAGGUCGGGUGUGUAAGCGCAGCGAUGCGUUGAGCUAACCGAUACUAAUGAACCGUGAGGCUUAACCUUACAACGCCGAAGGUGUUU
rnacentral:rRNA from 1 species